rnacentral:rRNA from 1 species
AAUGGGCGAAAGCCUGACGGAGCAACGCCGCGUGAGGGAUGAAGGCCUCUGGGCUGUAAACCUCUUUUAUCAAGGAAGAAGAUCUGACGGUACUUGAUGAAUAAGCCACGGCUAAUUCCGUGCCAGCAGCCGCGGUAAUACGGGAGUGGCAAGCGUUAUCCGGAAUUAUUGGGCGUAAAGCGCCCGCAGGCGGCCCUUCAAGUCUGCUGUUAAAAAGUGGAGCUUAACUCCAUCAUGGCAGUGGAAACUGUUGGGCUUGAGUGUGGUAGGGGCAGAGGGAAUUCCCGGUGUAGCGGUGAAAUGCGUAGAUAUCGGGAAGAACACCAGUGGCGAAGGCGCUCUGCUGGGCCAUCACUGACGCUCAUGGACGAAAGCCAGGGGAGCGAAAGGGAUU